GUCUACAACUGUACCACCCUGAAUGUGCCUGAUCUUGUCUGAUCUCUGAAACUAAGCAGGGUUGAGCCCGUUUAGUACUUGCAUAGGAGACUGCCUGGGAUUACCUGGUGCUAUAGGCU
rnacentral:rRNA from 1 species